UCCGGUUCAUCACCGGCAGUCUCCUUAGAGUGCUCGCCAUGACGCGCUAGCAACUAAGGACAAGGGUUGCGCUCGUUACGGGACUUAACCCAACAUCUCACAACACGAGCUGACGACAGCCAUGCAGCACCUGUCUUCUGGUUCCUUGCGGCACUCCCGCCUUUCAGCAGGAUUCCAGAGAUGUCAAGAGUAGGUAAGGUUUUUCGCGUUGCAUCGAAUUGAACCACAUGCUCCACCGCUUGUGCGGGCCCCCGUCAAUUCAUUUAAGUUUUAAUCUUGCGACCGUACUUCCCAGGCGGAGAACUUAUCGCGUUAGCUUCGAUACCAAACAGCCAUGCUGCCUGACAUCCAGUCCUCAUCGUUUACAGCGUGGACUAC
rnacentral:misc_RNA from 1 species